rnacentral:rRNA from 1 species
CGGAGAGUUUGAUUCUGGCUCAGAACGAACGCUGGCGGCGUGGAUAAGACAUGCAAGUCGAGCGGGGACCAGUGGGUAGCAAUAUUCGCUGGUUCUAGCGGCGAACGGGUGCGUAACACGUGGGCAAUCUGCCCUGAAGACUGGGAUAACUGCGCGAAAGCGUGGCUAAUACCGGAUGUGGAGGCCGGAGGGCAUCCUUCGGACUCCAAAGCUGGGGUUCCUUCGGGAACCUGGCGCUUCAGGAUGAGCCCGCGGCCUAUCAGCUUGUUGGCGGGGUAACGGCCCACCAAGGCUAAGACGGGUAGCUGGUCUGAGAGGACGACCAGCCACACUGGAACUGAGACACGGUCCAGACACCUACGGGUGGCAGCAGUCGAGAAUCUUUCACAAUGGGCGAAAGCCUGAUGGAGCGACGCCGCGUGGGGGAUGAAGGGCUUCGGCUUGUAAACCCCUGUCAUGGGCGAGCAAAGCCGGCGGGUUAACAGCCUUCCGGACUGAUAGUAGCCCAAGAGGAAGGGACGGCUAACUCUGUGCCAGCAGCCGCGGUAAUACAGAGGUCCCAAGCGUUGUUCGGAUUCACUGGGCGUAAAGGGUGCGCAGGCGGUGGGGUAAGUUUGGUGUGAAAUCUCCGGGCUCAACCCGGAAAUGGCAUCAAAUACUAUCCCGCUGGAGGGUUGGAGAGGGGACUGGAAUUCUCGGUGUAGCAGUGAAAUGCGUGGAUAUCGAGAGGAACACCAGUGGCGAAGGCGAGUCCCUGGACAACUCCUGACGCUCAUGCACGAAAGCUAGGGGAGCAAACAGGAUUAGAUACCCUGGUAGUCCUAGCCCUAAACGGUGCACGUUUGCUGUGGGCGGAUUCGACCCCGUCCGUGGCGAAGCUAACGCGUUAAACGUGCCGCCUGGGGAGUACGGCCGCAAGGUUAAAACUCAAAGAAAUUGACGGGGGCCUGCACAAGCGGUGGAGUAUGUGGCUCAAUUCGAUGCAACGCGAAGAACCUUACCUGGCCUUGACAUGCUGGUGGUAGAAGGGUGAAAGCCUAACGACCCCGCAAGGGGAGCCAGCACAGGUGCUGCAUGGCUGUCGUCAGCUCGUGUCGUGAGAUGUUGGGUUAAGUCCCGCAACGAGCGCAACCCCUGUGUCCCGUUGCUACUCCCGCAAGAGCGGGAAGCACUCAGGACAGACUGCCUCGCUUCAACGGGGAGGAAGGUGGGGAUGACGUCAAGUCAGUAUGGCCCUUAUGGCCAGGGCUGCACACGUACUACAAUGCCCGGCACAAUGGGUUGCGAUACCGUAAGGUGGAGCCAAUCCCCAAAAACCGGGCCCAGUUCAGAUUGUCGUCUGCAACUCGACGGCAUGAAGCCGGAAUCGCUAGUAAUGGCGCAUCAGCUACGGCGCCGUGAAUACGUUCCCAGGCCUUGUACACACCGCCCGUCACAUCACGAAAGCCGUUUGUACCCGAAGUCAUCGCGUCAACCUUGCGCAAGCGAGGAGACAGGUGCCGAAGGUAUGAACGGUGAUUGGGAUGAAGUCGUAACAAGGUAGCCGUAGGGGAACCUGCGGCUGGAUCACCUCCUUUCU